UACGUAGGGGGCUAGCGUUGUCCGGAUUUAUUGGGCGUAAAGAGCGUGUAGGCGGCCAUGUAGGUCCGGUGUGAAAACUCGAGGCUUAACCUCGAGAUGUCAUCGGAAACCAUUUGGCUAGAGUCCGGAAGAGGAGAGUGGAAUUCCUGGUGCAGCGGUGAAAUGCGCAGAUAUCAGGAAGAACAGCAAUGGCGAAAGCAGCUCUCUGGGACGGUACUGACGCUGAGACGCGAAAGCGUGGGGAGCGAACAGG
rnacentral:rRNA from 1 species